AGGCGCCCGUGCGGGGGAACUCCUGGGGCGCAGUGAGCGGCUAUUGCAGAGCCGCGUGACGAUUAUUGCUACGGCCAGGUAUUUUAUUCCUUCACGUGAACCACGUCCCCUCGGGCAGCCGAGCGUCGCGAGAGCUGGCUCUUGAGCCGAUCGGGUUUUCUGUUCUUUGCCACUGCUUGUAUGCGCCGCUGCAGCGCGGGCGACGCGCGAAAUGGACGCUCUCUCGGAAAUGGCCUCCUUUCGCGGCGGCGCUCCAGCGAGUGCCAGCUUUCUCCGCGCGGCCUGGUGAACUUUGAUGGAGACUCGCUUCCCGACACGUGCUUUGCCUUCGAAGGCGAGAAUGGCCGCCUGACGAGAUCGAAUUACGGCGCCGCUUCUUCUUGGCGCGCCUCAGUGCUUUCGACCCCGCUCAGCGCUCCCGUGAUUGCCCCCCUGCUCUUGGCCACAAGAAUACACCGGAGCCAAUUAGCGGUUUGAUGGGACGUGCCCUCCGGGACUAAAAUUGGCACGCUUGACGGCCGGGUGCGGCGACGCUGUCAAACCUGACCCGUCUGAUUUGUUUGCGGGAGGUUGAACUUCGAUGACCUCAGCGGUGAUGCCAGAAGAGCUGAAUUUUACCUCUCGGAAAGCUCUCAGUCCUUUGGCCCACUCUUGCCGAGCUUUUCAUGGCCCAAGCAUAAUUUAUGCGCAGUGUUGCUGCGAGAUCCUUAGUAUGGCUGCGUGCAGCAUUGUAACACUUGGUGGAGGCAUUUGAAGUGGUAGCCAAAAAUAUGAAGACUCAUCCUUGCCUGCAUGAAUGCUUUCAAUUUCUAAAUGCAUUGGUAACUAUCACUACUGGUGCAAGGCCCCCCACAUCUAUGCGGCAAGUGCCAUAGCUCGAAACCGAAUUUUUCCUUUAGUGUUUCACAAGGCGUCUGAUAUUUCCACAUUAGAUGUGAUGUGUUUGUUUUUAUUUAUCCCAGUGUGGAGAGAGCAUCAUUAAAUUGUUUUUUUUUA